rnacentral:rRNA from 1 species
AUCCGGCUCUUUUUAAGGCUGAGACACGACGUCGAGCACCUACGGGUGUGAAGUCAUUGAUGCCAUGCUUCCAGGAAAAGCCUCUAAGCUUCAGAUUGUAAGGAAUCGUACCCCAAACCGACACAGGUGGUCGGGUAGAGAAUACCAAGGCGCUUGAGAGAACUCGGGUGAAGGAACUAGGCAAAAUGGUACCGUAACUUCGGGAGAAGGUACGCUCUUGAUGGUGAAGUCCCUUGCGGAUGGAGCUAUU